UCCAGGGGAAAGACAGGGGGAGACUAGCUGGGGAGAGGGGAGCUGAAGCUGUGCUGAGAAGGGCUGCUACUAGGACAGUUGCUUCUGAGAGGACAACUGGCAGAGGAAUUGUUGCUAAGCGAGCUGCUACUGAGGGCAGAGGAGCCACCAGCUAAUAAGUACCCAGGAUCGCAUGGCAUCCAGGAAAGACUGGAAAAGGGAAGAAACCCUGGUCUCCGGAGCAGCCACACCUGAGGUCCUGACAGGCACCCCCAUCUUCUGCCCAGAUUGCCACCCCUUCUCUGAGGCAGAGCGAGCACCACUCCCCGGGGUGCCACUGCAGCCACUCUACAGUGGGCUACUUUGCUGCAGGCAGAAUGAUUUUGUGGAGACCUGGCUGAUUAAGUUUAUAUACCUGUUAUAAGUUGAUAAUAAAAUCGUUUUUGCUAUA